rnacentral:misc_RNA from 1 species
GAGACAAGCAUAUGACUACUGGCAGGAUCAACCAGGUAGCAUUCCUUUGAGACGUCGACACCCGUAUGAGCCCCGCCAAGCUAUGAGGCUGCAGGCUCAAAAACAGGCACAACAGUCAUUCGUGUCGUUGGACAAAAUGCAUUACUUUAUUAGAUGGAGGCCUCCAGGAGACCGCUCACCUGUAACACAUAACAUUCUACAUCCGAGAGCACAAGCAAGGAAUCUCAUGGGCCAAGGCAACCACGUAACUAAGCGAGGCAUGCCAGGAACAUGAGGCUUGCCUGACGUCUACCCACUACCCUCAAGGGCACGGGGCAAAGACAAAGAAACAAACUAUCGAAUUCCUUCCCAUAGGUAAGCAACACAGGAUACCGAA